rnacentral:rRNA from 1 species
AACGAACGCUGGCGGCAUGCCUAACACAUGCAAGUCGAACGAGACCUCCGGGUCUAGUGCCGCACGGGUGGGUACCGCCUGGGGACCUGCCCUUCGGUUCGUAAUCACUCCCCGAAGGGAGUGCUACUACCGGCUAAUGUCUACGGCACACAGUCUUAUCGCCUUUGGGGGGGACCGCCUUGGCUUAGCAUGUUGGUAGGGUAAAAACCUAACAAGGCAGCAAUAGAUAGCUGGUCUGAGAGGCUGAGCAGCCACUCUGUGACGGAGACACGGUCCAGACUCCUACGCGAGGGAGCAGUGGGGAAUAUUGGAAUGUGGGGUAUAGGAUGAUGCAGCAAUGCUUGGUGAGUGAUGAAGGCCGGAGAGAAGUAAAUCUCUCUUAUCCGGGAGGAUAAUGACGGUACCGGGAGAAUAAGCACCGGCUAACUCCGUG